AGCGAACGCUGGCGGCAGGCCUAACACAUGCAAGUCGAACGAACCUUUCGGGGUUAGUGGCGGACGGGUGAGUAACACGUGGGAACGUGCCUUUAGGUUCGGAAUAACUCAGGGAAACUUGUGCUAAUACCGAAUGUGCCCUUCGGGGGAAAGAUUUAUCGCCUUUAGAGCGGCCCGCGUCUGAUUAGCUAGUUGGUUGAGGUAAUGGCUCACCAAGGCGACGAUUAGUAGCUGGUCUGAGAGGAUGAUCAGCCACAUUGGGACUGAGACACGGCCCAAACUCUUACGGGAGGCAGCAGUGGGGAAUCUUGCGCAAUGGGCGAAAGCCUGACGCAGCCAUGCCGCGUGAAUGAUGAAGGUCUUAGGAUUGUAAAAUUCUUUCACCGGGGACGAUAAUGACGGUACCCGGAGAAGAAGCCCCGGCUAACUUCGUG
rnacentral:rRNA from 1 species